rnacentral:rRNA from 1 species
UACGUAGGGGGCAAGCGUUGUCCGGAUUUAUUGGGCGUAAAGCGCGUGUAGGCGGCCAGACAGGUCCGUUGUGAAAACUCGAGGCUCAACCUCGAGACGCCGAUGGAAACCGUCUGGCUAGAGUCCGGAAGAGGAGAGUGGAAUUCCUGGUGUAGCGGUGAAAUGCGCAGAGAUCAGGAAGAACACCCGUGGCUAAGGCGGCUCUCUAGGACGGUACUGACGCUGAGACGCGAAAGCGUGGGGAGCGAACAGG